UAAUAAGUUUUGGCAGCUUUU
rnacentral:piRNA from 1 species